AUGAAGGACGUUACUAACGACGAUAUGCUUUGGGGAGCUGUAAGUAAGCUUUGAUCCAGAGAUUUCCGAAUGGGGAAACCCAGCAUGAGUUAUGUCAUGUUAUCGAUAUGUGAAUACAUAGCAUAUCAGAAGGCACACCCGGAGAACUGAAACAUCUUAGUACCCGGAGGAAGAGAAAGAAAAUUCGAUUCCCUUAGUAGCGGCGAGCGAAACGGGAAGAGCCCAAACCAACAAGCUUGCUUGUUGGGGUUGUAGGACACUCUAUACGGAGUUACAAAGGACGACAUUAGACGAAUCAUCUGGAAAGAUGAAUCAAAGAAGGUAAUAAUCCUGUAGUCGAAAAUGUUGUCUCUCUUGAGUGGAUCCUGAGUACGACGGAGCACGUGAAAUUCCGUCGGAAUCUGGGAGGACCAUCUCCUAAGGCUAAAUACUCUCUAGUGACCGAUAGUGAACCAGUACCGUGAGGGAAAGGUGAAAAGCACCCCGGAAGGGGAGUGAAAUAGAACCUGAAACCGUGUGCUUACAAGUAGUCAGAGCCCGUUAAUGGGUGAUGGCGUGCCUUUUGUAGAAUGAACCGGCGAGUUACGAUUUGAUGCAAGGUUAAGCAGUAAAUGUGGAGCCGUAGCGAAAGCGAGUCUGAAUAGGGCGUUUAGUAUUUGGUCGUAGACCCGAAACCAGGUGAUCUACCCUUGGUCAGGUUGAAGUUCAGGUAACACUGAAUGGAGGACCGAACCGACUUACGUUGAAAAGUGAGCGGAUGAACUGAGGGUAGCGGAGAAAUUCCAAUCGAACCUGGAGAUAGCUGGUUCUCUCCGAAAUAGCUUUAGGGCUAGCCUCAAGUGAUGAUUAUUGGAGGUAGAGCACUGUUUGGACGAGGGGCCCCUCUCGGGUUACCGAAUUCAGACAAACUCCGAAUGCCAAUUAAUUUAACUUGGGAGUCAGAACAUGGGUGAUAAGGUCCGUGUUCGAAAGGGAAACAGCCCAGACCACCAGCUAAGGUCCCAAAAUAUAUGUUAAGUGGAAAAGGAUGUGGCGUUGCCCAGACAACUAGGAUGUUGGCUUAGAAGCAGCCAUCAUUUAAAGAGUGCGUAAUAGCUCACUAGUCGAGUGACACUGCGCCGAAAAUGUACCGGGGCUAAACAUAUUACCGAAGCUGUGGAUUGUCCUUUGGACAAUGGUAGGAGAGCGUUCUAAGGGCGUUGAAGCAUGAUCGUAAGGACAUGUGGAGCGCUUAGAAGUGAGAAUGCCGGUGUGAGUAGCGAAAGACGGGUGAGAAUCCCGUCCACCGAUUGACUAAGGUUUCCAGAGGAAGGCUCGUCCGCUCUGGGUUAGUCGGGUCCUAAGCUGAGGCCGACAGGCGUAGGCGAUGGAUAACAGGUUGAUAUUCCUGUACCACCUAUAAUCGUUUUAAUCGAUGGGGGGACGCAGUAGGAUAGGCGAAGCGUGCGAUUGGAUUGCACGUCUAAGCAGUAAGGCUGAGUAUUAGGCAAAUCCGGUACUCGUUAAGGCUGAGCUGUGAUGGGGAGAAGACAUUGUGUCUUCGAGUCGUUGAUUUCACACUGCCGAGAAAAGCCUCUAGAUAGAAAAUAGGUGCCCGUACCGCAAACCGACACAGGUAGUCAAGAUGAGAAUUCUAAGGUGAGCGAGCGAACUCUCGUUAAGGAACUCGGCAAAAUGACCCCGUAACUUCGGGAGAAGGGGUGCUCUUUAGGGUUAACGCCCAGAAGAGCCGCAGUGAAUAGGCCCAAGCGACUGUUUAUCAAAAACACAGGUCUCUGCUAAACCGUAAGGUGAUGUAUAGGGGCUGACGCCUGCCCGGUGCUGGAAGGUUAAGAGGAGUGGUUAGCUUCUGCGAAGCUACGAAUCGAAGCCCCAGUAAACGGCGGCCGUAACUAUAACGGUCCUAAGGUAGCGAAAUUCCUUGUCGGGUAAGUUCCGACCCGCACGAAAGGCGUAACGAUUUGGGCACUGUCUCAACGAGAGACUCGGUGAAAUCAUAGUACCUGUGAAGAUGCAGGUUACCCGCGACAGGACGGAAAGACCCCGUGGAGCUUUACUGUAGCCUGAUAUUGAAAUUCGGCACAGCUUGUACAGGAUAGGUAGGAGCCUUUGAAACGUGAGCGCUAGCUUACGUGGAGGCGCUGGUGGGAUACUACCCUAGCUGUGUUGGCUUUCUAACCCGCACCACUUAUCGUGGUGGGAGACAGUGUCAGGCGGGCAGUUUGACUGGGGCGGUCGCCUCCUAAAAGGUAACGGAGGCGCUCAAAGGUUCCCUCAGAAUGGUUGGAAAUCAUUCAUAGAGUGUAAAGGCAUAAGGGAGCUUGACUGCGAGACCUACAAGUCGAGCAGGGUCGAAAGACGGACUUAGUGAUCCGGUGGUUCCGCAUGGAAGGGCCAUCGCUCAACGGAUAAAAGCUACCCCGGGGAUAACAGGCUUAUCUCCCCCAAGAGUUCACAUCGACGGGGAGGUUUGGCACCUCGAUGUCGGCUCAUCGCAUCCUGGGGCUGUAGUCGGUCCCAAGGGUUGGGCUGUUCGCCCAUUAAAGCGGUACGCGAGCUGGGUUCAGAACGUCGUGAGACAGUUCGGUCCCUAUCCGUCGUGGGCGUAGGAAAUUUGAGAGGAGCUGUCCUUAGUACGAGAGGACCGGGAUGGACAUACCUCUGGUGUACCAGUUGUCGUGCCAGCGGCAUAGCUGGGUAGCUAUGUGUGGACGGGAUAAGUGCUGAAAGCAUCUAAGCAUGAAGCCCCCCUCAAGAUGAGAUUUCCCAACUUCGGUUA
rnacentral:rRNA from 1 species